rnacentral:rRNA from 6 species
UUUAUUGGAGAGUUUGAUCCUGGCUCAGGAUGAACGCUGGCGGCGUGCCUAAUACAUGCAAGUCGAGCGAAUGGAUUAAGAGCUUGCUCUUAUGAAGUUAGCGGCGGACGGGUGAGUAACACGUGGGUAACCUGCCCAUAAGACUGGGAUAACUCCGGGAAACCGGGGCUAAUACCGGAUAACAUUUUGAAC